UACAGAGGUCCCAAGCGUUGUUCGGAUUCACUGGGCGUAAAGGGUGCGUAGGCGGCCAACUAAGUCAGACGUGAAAUCCCUCGGCUUAACCGGGGAACUGCGUCUGAUACUGGAUGGCUCGAGUUUGGGAGAGGGAUGCGGAAUUCCAGGUGUAGCGGUGAAAUGCGUAGAUAUCUGGAGGAACACCGGUGGCGAAGGCGGCAUCCUGGACCAACACUGACGCUGAUGAGCGAAAGCCAGGGGAGCAAACGGG
rnacentral:rRNA from 1 species